rnacentral:rRNA from 1 species
UACGAAGGGGGCUAGCGUUGCUCGGAAUUACUGGGCGUAAAGGGCGCGUAGGCGGACAGUUAAGUCAGAGGUGAAAGCCCAGGGCUCAACCCUGGAAUUGCCUUUGAUACUGGCUGUCUUGAGUACGGGAGAGGUGAGUGGAACUCCGAGUGUAGAGGUGAAAUUCGUAGAUAUUCGGAAGAACACCAGUGGCGAAGGCGGCUCACUGGCCCGAUACUGACGCUGAGGCACGAAAGCGUGGGGAGCAAACAGG